CCUACGGGAGGCAGCAGUGAGGAAUAUUGGUCAAUGGCCGGAAGGCUGAACCAGCCAUGCCGCGUGAAGGUCAGUGCCCUAUGGGCGUUAAACUUCUUUUGUGCGGGAGCAAUAAUGGUCACGUGUGGCCAGACGAGAGUACCGUACGAAUAAGCAUCGGCUAACUCCGUGCCAGCAGCCGCGGUAAUACGGGGGAUGCAAGCGUUAUCCGGAUUUAUUGGGGUUAAGGGGUGCGUAGGCUGUGAGGGAAGUCAGCGGUGAAAUGCCCCCGCUCAACGGGGUGAAGUGCCAUUGAUACUGCCUUGCUGGAAUGCGGAUGCCGUGGGAGGAAUGUGUGGUGUAGCGGUGAAAUGCAUAGAUAUCACACAGAACACCGAUUGCGAAGGCAUCUCACGAAUCCGCGAUUGACGCUGAUGCACGAAAGCGUGGGUAUCAAACAGGAUUAGAUACCCGGGUAGUC
rnacentral:rRNA from 1 species